GCAUAUCAAUAAGCGGAGGAAAAGAAACCAACCGGGAUUGCCUCAGUAACGGCGAGUGAAGCGGCAAGAGCUCAAAUUUGAAAUCUGGCCCCUCCGGGGUCCGAGUUGUAAUUUGCAGAGGAUGCUUCGGGUGCGGCCCCCGUCUAAGUGCCCUGGAACGGGCCGUCAGAGAGGGUGAGAAUCCCGUCUUGGGCGGGGUGUCCGUGCCCGUGUGAAGCUCCUUCGACGAGUCGAGUUGUUUGGGAAUGCAGCUCUAAAUGGGUGGUAAAUUUCAUCUAAAGCUAAAUACUGGCCGGAGACCGAUAGCGCACAAGUAGAGUGAUCGAAAGAUGAAAAGCACUUUGAAAAGAGAGUUAAACAGCACGUGAAAUUGUUGAAAGGGAAGCGCUUGCGACCAGACUCGCCCGCGGGGUUCAGCCGGCAUUCGUGCCGGUGUACUUCCCCGUGGGCGGGCCAGCGUCGGUUUGGGCGGCCGGUCAAAGGCCUCCGGAAUGUAUCGCCCCCCGGGGCGUCUUAUAGCCGGAGGUGCAAUGCGGCCAGCCUAGACCGAGGAACGCGCUUCGGCACGGACGCUGGCAUAAUGGUCGCAAACGACCCGUCUUGAAACACGGACCAAGGAGUCUAACAUCUACGCGAGUGUUCGGGUGUCAAACCCGUACGCGCAGUGAAAGCGAACGGAGGUGGGAGCCCCCUCGUGGGGCGCACCAUCGACCGAUCCUGAUGUCUUCGGAUGGAUUUGAGUACGAGCGUAGCUGUGGGGACCCGAAAGAUGGUGAACUAUGCCUGAAUAGGGCGAAGCCAGAGGAAACUCUGGUGGAGGCUCGCAGCGGUUCUGACGUGCAAAUCGAUCGUCAAAUUUGGGUAUAGGGGGCGAAAGACUAAUCGAACCAUCUGGUAGCUGGUUCCUGCCGA
rnacentral:rRNA from 1 species